AAACAUAAUCGCAUAAAGCGGCUCCAUGCUGAUGAGUUAAAGCAGAACAUGUCUAUGCGUAUGGCAGUAUGGCAGCUUACAGUAAGAAAUUACUCUCUUUACAUCAGUUUGUGUUUGUGUGGAUCUGCUGUUAAAGCUGCAGUGAAAUCAGGACAUCACAGUUAGUGCUGGAUUCCUCUUAAAAUGUUUUAGGUCAAUUGCAGUCUUUGUUUU